AGCUGACGUGUGGGCUCGAAGAGCAGGGAACUUGAGUGUGUGAGAAACUCAAUAUUUACCUUUCUUUUUAAGGUGCAUUCAUCGUGAGUGGAGCUGCACCGGAAGGGCACAAACUUGAACGUCGUGGUGGUGACACUGAUCUCUGCGCUUGUAUUGAUAUUACGUGCCCUAGCGGCCAUUGCACAGCGAUAAGCCAGUGUAAGAAAUGCUCCGGGAUCGUGGGAUGAACAACAUCGCUGACCGACAAACCUUAACUACGAAAUGAUCAAUUUGCACGUAUUGAGCAACGGACCCGGUAUUUUCUUUUCUGAAUGAUCAUAGGUGGCGGGAACUUUUGAGCGAAAUAAAUGGUACUAAGUAGCA